UACAGAGGGGGCAAGCGUUGUUCGGAAUCACUGGGCAUAAAGGGCGCGUAGGCGGCUUUUCAAGUCAGGGGUGAAAUCCGGCAGCUCAACUGUCGAAGUGCCUUUGAUACUGUAGAGCUCGAGGGAGGUAGGGGUGUGCGGAACUUCCGGUGGAGCGGUGAAAUGCGUUGAUAUCGGAAGGAACGCCGGUGGCGAACGCGGCGCACUGGACCUCUUCUGACGCUGAGGCGCGAAAGCCAGGGGAGCAAACGGG
rnacentral:rRNA from 1 species